CGCACAUUGCGCCCUGUGGUAUUCCGCAGGGCAUGCCUGUUCGAGCGUCAUUUUACCAAUCAAGCCCCGCUUGGUAUUGGAGCCAGUACUUGUACGGCUCUCAAAAACAAUAGCAGUCUACACAAGACCCUAAGUAUAGUAAAUUCUCUUGCUUUUGGGCGCUGUAGGGACUUGCUUAUACCUAUCUUCAGGUUGACCUCGGAUCAGGUAGGGAUACCCGCUGAACUUAA
rnacentral:misc_RNA from 1 species